rnacentral:lncRNA from 1 species
CAAUGAAUCUUUAGAUUUGGUUCCAUUUGUCUACUUAUGAGUUCUAUAUGAAUUGACAAAAGUCUAGAGUAUCCUUUCUUGAAGAAAAGGAAGAUCACAUUAUAAUGAUAUAAGUAAUAAGAAAAACAUUUCUUAUAUGGUUAUCACUUGAAACACAAUGAUCAAAAUCACUCUUGAUUCAAUUAGUAGUUUUGAACAACUAAUUGGGCAUUCUUUAAAAGGUUUUAAAAUGUCAAUUGUGUUAGUAAUUAAACCAAGAAAUAAGUGUCUAAAUCUAUAAAAUGUUUAAAGACUUUAGUCACUUAAUAACAAGACAUUAACUUAGUGAAGAUUGAAACAAAUAAGCUUGGAAUGUUUUAAAGCUACUACACAAUGUCUUCUUCCAAUAUACUCCACUUUCAUACAUUUUGAAUAUAUGAAAUGAUUUCUCAUUAAAGUCAUGAGAAAUAGUGGGAGGUGUGAAAAUGGAUAUAAACUUGAAUGUGAUUGGUUUAUAGUUGUCUAAAGAAUAAUAGUACUUGACUAUUAUUAAAAGUUUGUAAUUUUAAUUGUUAAAAGGACUCAAGCUCUUCAAACGUUAAAAUUCUAUGUUGUGUGACAUUCUA